UACAGAGGGUGCAAGCGUUGUUCGGAAUUAUUGGGCGUAAAGCGCGUGUAGGCGGCUUUGCAAGUCGGAUGUGAAAGCCCUCGGCUCAACCGAGGAAGUGCGUUCGAAACUGCAGAGCUUGAGUGCCGGAGAGGAAAGCGGAAUUCCUGGUGUAGAGGUGAAAUUCGUAGAUAUCAGGAGGAACACCAGUGGCGAAGGCGGCUUUCUGGACGAUAACUGACGCUGAGACGCGAAAAGCGUGGGGAGCAAACAGGG
rnacentral:rRNA from 1 species